rnacentral:rRNA from 1 species
AUUGAACGCUGGCGGCAGGCCUAACACAUGCAAGUCGAGCGGAGCGGCGGACGGGUGAGUAAUGCCUAGGAAUCUGCCUGGUAGUGGGGGAUAACGUCCGGAAACGGGCGCUAAUACCGCAUACUAUCAGAUGAGCCUAGGUCGGAUUAGCUAGUUGGUGGGGUAAAGGCCUACCAAGGCGACGAUCCGUAACUGGUCUGAGAGGAUGAUCAGUCACACUGGAACCGAGAACAGGUCCCGAACCCUAAGGGAGGCAGCCGUUGGGAAUAGUUGACAAUGGGCGAAAGGCUGAUCCAGCCCAGGCGCGUGUGUGAAGAAGGUCUUUGGAUUGGAAAGCACUUUAAGUUGGGAGGCGUUACCAACAGAAUAAGCACCGGCUAACUUCGUGCCAGCAGCCGCGGUAAUAC